rnacentral:tRNA from 1 species
AUCUAGGUAUUUUAAGAUAAAAUAAUAGCUUGUGAUGCUUAUAAUGCAAAUUAUAUAUUGCUCUGGAUA